GCAGGGUUAGCUCAGUUGGUUAGAGCAUGGUGCUAGUAACGCCAAGGUCACCACAGGUUCGAUCCCUGCUCACUGCA
rfam:Pelecanus crispus contig111647, whole genome shotgun sequence.